rnacentral:rRNA from 1 species
GUCUACGGCCAUACCACCCUGAACGCGCCCGAUCUCGUCUGAUCUCGGAAGCUAAGCAGGGUCGGGCCUGGUUAGUACUUGGAUGGGAAAGAUGAAAUUUGUCCCUAAAAUCAGGAACAAUACAAG